rnacentral:rRNA from 1 species
GUGAACGCUGGCGGUAGGCCUAACACAUGCAAGUCGCACGGCAGCACAGUAAGAGCUUGCUCUUACGGGUGGCGAGUGGCGGACGGGUGAGGAAUACAUCGGAAUCUACUUUUUCGUGGGGGAUAACGUAGGGAAACUUACGCUAAUACCGCAUACGACCUACGGGUGAAAGCAGGGGAUCUUCGGACCUUGCGCGAUUGAAUGAGCCGAUGUCGGAUUAGCUAGUUGGCGGGGUAAAGGCCCACCAAGGCGACGAUCCGUAGCUGGUCUGAGAGGAUGAUCAGCCACACUGGAACUGAGACACGGUCCAGACUCCUACGGGAGGCAGCAGUGGGGAAUAUUGGACAAUGGGCGCAAGCCUGAUCCAGCCAUACCGCGUGGGUGAAGAAGGCCUUCGGGUUGUAAAGCCCUUUUGUUGGGAAAGAAAAGCAGCAGGUUAAUACCCCGCUGUCCUGACGGUACCCAAAGAAUAAGCACCGGCUAACUUCGUG